CUUCCCCACCUUGACAUUUCUCCUUGCAAUACUCCCUGUGCAGUGAGAUCUCCCACACGAGGGGAUGCUCCCUGUAGGUAGAGUAGUGUGGCUCAAAACGGCUGGGAAGCAAUCGUCUAGCCAAAUCUACCCUCCUUACAGCUGAAGAACCCUUUUAAUUUCACAUUAAUCUAAGUUUGAGAGGUUUUUCCCUAGACUUUUAUUUGCCAUUUUUUCUUUGUUAUGUUUUAGAGAUGGGAAAGAAUAUGGAAGAGUAAAGAAAAAUGACUUUUAAUCUACCUGCUCCUGGAGAAAAAAAGUAUGAUAUUUGAUUUAAAAUAGCCUUAAGGUCUAUUUAAAUGUUUUGAAAAUCAAAGUUUGUAAAAUAGACACAAUCCUUUCUUUCUUUCUUUCUUUUUCUUUCUUUCAUCUUUCUUCUUUUUUUCUUUUUGAGAUGGAAUCUCAUUCUGUCACCCAGGCUGGCAUGCAGUGGCGCAAUCUCGGCUCACUGUAACCUCCGCCUCCAGGGUUCAUGCGAUUCUCCUGCCUCAGCCUCCUGAGUAGCUGGGAUUACAGGCACAUACCACCACGCCUGGCUAAUUUUUUGUAGUUUUAGUAGAGACGGGGUUUCACCAUGUUGGCCAGACUGGUCUCAAACUCCUGACCUCGUGAUCUGCCCGCCUCAGCCUCCCAAAGU
rnacentral:lncRNA from 1 species